rnacentral:tRNA from 1 species
GGGGUUGUAGCUUAGUGGUAGAGCACUCACCUAGCAUGUGUGAGGCACUGGGUUCAAUCCUCAACAUCA